rnacentral:rRNA from 1 species
AGAGCAGCACUGGGCAUAAAGUGUGCGCAGGCGGUUCGUUAAGUCUGCUGUGAAAGCCCUGGGCUCAACCUGGGAAUGGCAGUGGAUACUGGCGAGCUAGAGUACGGUAGAGGAAGGUGGAAUUCCCGGUGUAGCGGUGAAAUGCGUAGAGAUCGGGAGGAACACCAGUGGCGAAGGCGACCUUCUGGACCAGUACUGACGCUCAUGCACGAAAGCGUGGGGAGCAAACAGGAUUAGAUACCCUGGUAGUCCACGCCCUAAACGAUGCGAACUGGAUGUUGGGCACACUUUGGUGCUCAGUGUCGAAGCUAACGCGUUAAGUUCGCCGCCUGGGGAGUACGGUCGCAAGACUGAAACUUAAAAAAUUAGACGG